GUUGUUUUCUCGAAAAUCAAUUCAUAAUGGCUUGAUGUUAAGUUUUAAGACUUUAUCAGCUUGUUUCUUAAUUUUCUUGUCUUUGUGAAUGCACUUUUCGUUUAACAAGUCAACAUCAAUUUCUUUUGUUGUAAAAGGGUAAGAGGAAGGUGGCUUUCUCUUCGGAGAAAGUGUUUAUAGCCUUUUACCUCUGCAAUCGGAGAGAUUGAGGUCUGCAGCGUAGACUCUUCGGGGUUAGAUACAUUUGUGCUAAGUUAUAGCUUUUUAUAGACAACAUGUUGACUAUGAUUAGUCUUGUAGCUUACUCGCUUAUGCUAUUUUACCUAC
rnacentral:rRNA from 1 species